rnacentral:rRNA from 1 species
GACUGAUUUGCUUAAUUUUUUUACGGGUAAAAUUAGAUAUCUUAUGAUUUGUUACAAGGUUUUAUUGGUGUAAUUAUGUUGAUACUAAGAUGUUGUUUUAGGUAGAUUUAUUUGUUAAACAAGAAUUAGAUACUCUUUUAUAUAUAAAUUUAUUUGUGGUUUCUCGGUUGUAACUGAAAGAAAUUGGCAGCUAAUUAUGUCCUUCUGGGGGAGUGCGUGUUUUAAUGGAUGUUCCGCUUAUUAUUCUGCUUGGGUUAUUUAGUUAGUGUAUAUCCGGUUUAGUUAUGCAAAGUAGAUAUUUUGUGUAGAAAGUUUUUUUUAAUCCAGGUCAAUAUGCUGCUUAUGUUCUAGUUAAUAUUCGCUACAUUAUAAACUUAUGAAAUGAAAAUUUUUAUGAUUUAAGGACUCAGUCGUAUUAUGAAAUUUUAGUUAGUUCAUGAGAGUUAGGUUUAGUUGGGGUACACAUCGCCCGUCAUCUUCGAUUAUUAGUU